rnacentral:rRNA from 1 species
AGUGCACGCUGGCGGUAGGCCUAACACAUGCAAGUCGAACGGCAGCACAGUAAGAGCUUGCUCUUACGGGUGGCGAGUGGCGGACGGGUGAGGAGUACAUCGGAAUCUACUUUUUCGUGGGGGAUAACGUAGGGAAACUUACGCUAAUACCGCAUACGACCUACGGGUGAAAGCAGGGGAUCUUCGGACCUUGCGCGAUUGAAUGAGCCGAUGUUGGAUUAGCUAGUUGGCGGGGUAAAGGCCCACCAAGGCGACGAUCCGUAGCUGGUCUGAGAGGAUGAUCAGCCACACUGGAACUGAGACACGGUCCAGACUCCUACGGGAGGCAGCAGUGGGGAAUAUUGGACAAUGGGCGCAAGCCUGAUCCAGCCAUACCGCGUGGGUGAAGAAGGCCUUCGGGUUGUAAAGCCCUUUUGUUGGGAAAGAAAAGCAGCAGGUUAAUACCCCGCUGUUCUGACGGUACCCAAAGAAUAAGCACCGGCUAACUUCGUG